UGACAGAUAUCUCUGAUCACGAUCGGUGUAACUUAGAGCGGUAUAAAAAGAGCAGCACAAAGCUGGGGUCAGACUUUUUGGGAGAAGGAGACGACAAUGGAGAAAACAGUAAAGUUUGCCCUCUCCAUAUGGUUGAUCUUCACGGCCAUAAGCUUCACUGAGGGGCAAGCAGCGACUGAGUGUAGCUCAUGUACAAGCGACAAAAGCCCCACCGAGAAGAGCCAAGGCCCAAGUUCCUCGCGGCCGACAGCCACCACGGCGAUGCCGCUCAGCUCCUCGACAUCAAGUGCAGCCUCACCCUCACCGUUGUCCACCGUCGCAGUAUCAGCCAUCGCCACGGCAUCAAGGCGGCCCACGGCAUCCCAUGAAACCGACUCGAGCCCAACUCCGGCAGCAUCCCCGAGUGAUACCUCCUCUGUCAGACCUUCGGACACAACAUUAAAAGCAGGGACUACUUCUUUGUUUGGCGUAUGUAGUCCAAUGCUGGUGUGUGGCAUCUCCUUUCUGAUCUGCAACGCGUAGACUGUGAGACACGCCGGACAAACGUAAUGACAACGUAAUACUGUAAAAUGCGAUAUUUGUGCCUUGGAGUCUUUGUUCGAUCACGGCAACAAAAUUAAAAAUUCGUUUUGCGUCAUUUACGGUGUAUAAAUAAGUGGUUGGUUUAAACAAGUUGAACUCAUGUCUUUGGCACAUUAUUCUGUCAUGAUAUGGAUUUUUUUUUUGGGGUGGGGUUCAUUUUGAUUGGAUUUUGUUUUGUCAUGUUUAGCCCGUUAGGUUUUUGUGCUCGUUAAUGCCGUUCCAUUAUUUUAGGCUUAUGUUUGAUUUCGUGGUUUUAAAUAAAAGGCGAUCAAAAAGAAGAAUGACAUUUCAGAACUCUGGUCAGCGAGCCUGCCAAGACGCUGAGACAAAUGUCAAAGGAGGUGCAGCAACUACAGGUAACGAAAGGCAGGAAAACUUUUAUUAGAACAGCUGAACUUUAUUUGGGAUUAAUCACAGAGGCCUCCGCCGGUCUGCUCAUUGGAUUGUGUGUGUUUCGGGUAUUUUGCCUCUCAGCUACAUAUAUUAAUCACAACGAGGUCAGCACAUUAAAAAAAUAAUAAUAAAAAAUAAAAA